rnacentral:lncRNA from 1 species
AUAUAUUUUCCUUUUCAUAGUUUCUAUAUGUUUUUAACAGGGUAGAACUUGCUUUAUGGUUUGUGAAAUAUUUAAAUAGUAGAUAAAUUUUAAUUAACUUACCUAUUGGUGCAACAACAAAGCAAAAAAGGGCAGACAGAUGGAUACAAGAGUGUCCAUCUGCGUGCGAGAACCAAAAAGAAGAACCAGAGAAUAUAGACAUAAGAGAGACGAACCAACGACACUACAUGAGAGUUCAAAAAGGU